UGUCAUAGUUGAGCUUCUGCUCCCCUAAC
rnacentral:piRNA from 1 species